AGAGUUUGAUCCUGGCUCAGAAUCAACGCUGGCGGCAUGCCUAACACAUGCAAGCUCGAACGAGAAAGUCCUUCGGGAUGAGUAGAGUGGCGUACGGGUGAGUAACGCGUGGGUUAUCUACCUCUGGGUAGGGAAUAACUCGGGGAAACUCGAGCUAAUACCGUAUAAUACGUUUACGUUAAAGCAGCAAUGCGCCUANAGAUGAGCCUGCGUCCGAUUAGCUAGUUGGCGGGGUAAUGGCCCACCAAGGCGACGAUCGGUAGCCGGCCUGAGAGGGC
rnacentral:rRNA from 1 species